rnacentral:rRNA from 1 species
UACGGGGGGGGCAAGCGUUGUUCGGAAUUACUGGGCGUAAAGGGCUCGUAGGCGGCCAACUAAGUCGGACGUGAAAUCCCCAGGCUCAACCUGGGAACUGCGUCCGAUACUGGAUGGCUUGAAUUCGGGAGAGGGAUGCAGAAUUCCAGGUGUAGCGGUGAAAUGCGUAGAUAUCUGGAGGAAUACCGGUGGCGAAGGCGGCAUCCUGGACCGACAUUGACGCUGAGGAGCGAAAGCUAGGGAGCAAACAGG